GGAGCGCCGCCCCGCCUGCUCCCGCCGCGCUCCUCCGCUAAAGGCGCUUUCGCCUCCUGCGAGUGCGGGGACUCAAUCUCUCGCUUUCGGGCGGGUCUGAGCCCUCUCCCCGGGCAUGUCCUACAGGCGCAUUAAGGGGCCUGAGUCAUGCUGAGGUGCGCUGGGAAGCGGCAAAGAGUCCCCAAGGCGAGCAGGGGCAGGCGUGAGUGCCGAUGCCACCGGCUGCGCCCGCGGGCCCGAUGGAAAAUCGCCUCCCGGGCUGGGUACAAGAUGUUCUUCUAAGUGCGCUCUGUGACCGGCCAUGACUUGAUCUACUACCAGGCUUCAGAGAAAUGUCUUCUGUAAUUGCAUUACAGUAAGACAACGCAUUGUGAGAUUAAUGCACAUAACUGUUAUUAAAACAAUUUGUAAAUGUAUUCUCCACAAAAUGGAUAAUAAAACACAUGGAUCUUUGCCUCAGUAAUAAAACAAAAUUGUUGCAGAGAAAAUUCAUCAGACGUAUUGAGAGGACUACAAGGCCCAUUUGCAUGUGGUGCACAUGGCCCAGAUCAUGUCACCAAGUAGUCACAGUUUUCUGCUGUAUUUUUCUUCUUUUCUCCUUUCAUGUGUAUCACCAUCCUGGCACUGGACGAUAGGAUGCACAAAUCUGAUUUUGCUAACAGAGAUUUUCCUCUGCUUCUGAUGAUAUUCAGAGACAAAUUGCCACACAGAAAGCAAAAUGCCCAUCUCACAUUCUUCAAGUACCCUGCUGCCAUUUCUGUGUCUGGGGAAAUGUAUGGAUGGGCCAUCACUUUCACCCUUUCCUUUCUCAGCAAUUAGAAAAGGAAUUUUUGAUCAAAUAGGAUGGGCACUCAGAGUUCUGUGUCCUGCAACUUCUUCUUUAGAUUUCAUUCUGAUCAUGUCAUUGCUGUAAAACUUGCAUAAAUGCUUCCUAUAGAGCAAUUUGAACACAGAAAUUUGCAAGUGAAAUCAGUUAAUUAGUUUAUAAAUUAUGAGUCUUCCAUAAUUUUGGAAAAAAAAUACAGCUUUGGCAACUGCAGCCUGCAGUUA